GGACUGGUUAUCUCAGUGGUUUGAGAGCGAUGCUGACAACAAAGACCAACACCAAGGUCGUGGGUUCGAUUCCUGCUCGGUCCC
rfam:Apaloderma vittatum contig77614, whole genome shotgun sequence.